rnacentral:misc_RNA from 1 species
GAAAUGCGAUAAUUAAUGUGAAUUGCAGAAUUCAGUGAAUCAUCGAGUCUUUGAACGCACAUUGCGCCCCCAGGUAUUCCGGGGGGCAUGCCUGUCCGAGCGUCAUUGCUGCCCUCAAGCACGGCUUGUGUGUUGGGCUUCCGUCCCUGGCAACGGGGACGGGCCCAAAAGGCAGUGGCGGCACCAUGUCUGGUCCUCGAGCGUAUGGGGCUUUGUCACCCGCUCCCGUAGGUCCAGCUGGCAGCUAGCCUCGCAACCAAUCUUUUUAACCAGGUUGACCUCGGAUCAGGUAGGGAUACCCGCUGAACUUAAGC